rnacentral:rRNA from 1 species
AGAUUGAACGCUGGCGGCAUGCCUUACACAUGCAAGUCGAACGGCAGCACGGGAGCAAUCCUGGUGGCGAGUGGCGAACGGGUGAGUAAUACAUCGGAACGUGCCCAAUCGUGGGGGAUAACGCAGCGAAAGCUGUGCUAAUACCGCAUAAGAUCCUAGGAUGAAAGCAGGGG